GUUAUCCUUGAUAAUAAUCUCACCCUUAGACGUCCUUAGAGCAUUUGACGCGGAAUACGCGCGCGUGAAUCAUUCCCAAGCGUGUGAGACACGCAUGCAACCGUACGCGUGCUAAGCGGAGAAGGCAGCAACUCUAGCUCUAAUGGAAAAGGGAGAGGGGGGAUAAUCGAGAGAACAGAAUGAUUCAAAAAGGGGUACAGUGGAAUGUUACCCGGUAUUCACAAAGCUCUCACCCUACCCCUCUGCCGUCGAUGCCAUGAGUUCAUUAACUAGCGUCACGACAUACGCCGGAGCAAAGAUGACAUAGAAUGAAUUCAUGAUUAUUAGAACUUAAUGAUGACUAGCGCGAGUGUUCGCUUCAACUGUUCAAGCUGCAUUCGACAGCUGACAAGUACAGUUAACACGGACAAGGCAAGAACAAGCCAAAGAUAUUAGAAAUACCAAGGAGACGAAAGGCAAUUAGGAAGUGCGCCAUUUCUUCACGCUAUAAAAACAACAUUGACCCCAAUACGACCCAACAAGGUAGAACAAGCGCUAUUGAUAUCAUAGGGUGAGCUAUCCAUGCCCACUUAGUUAUGUAUACCGUACCUGGUAAAGAUCAAUGAAGGAGAAAAAUCUACGGUUCCGUUCAAGCCAACAAACGGGACGCUAGAUUGGAGAAUAGCCUCGAGCGUUGAGUUACACAUGCAUGGACUUGUCUUACCCCUCAGACAUAACGAUAGGAUACUCGAUAAAUAAGAUAGAGUUUCAAAUUUCGCAUCAGCUCUUGAUGAUGUGAUUGUGGGUGUCAUGUUGCAAGGAAUGCAUCACCGCAAAGAAAAUCUCACGCAGCACUCGUAUGGGAGGGGAGGGUACUCCGCCGGUAAUUAUAUGUUUGCUGUAUGUGUAUGUGCCAUAGCAAGGGUUUUUUUCUCCUGUCUUAGACAAAAUGUACGUCUCAGCUGAAAUGUCCUUUGUGUCAAUUAUAAACACCUGUCAUUUUUGUUUUCGCUAAGGCGCGGGGUUUUCCGGUUGCGGUGGGCACGCCAUACCUUAUCUUAUCUUAUAAUGAAUCAAGUCGACAACAA